CGGCGGACGGGUGAGUAACGCGUGGGUAACCUGCCUCAUACAGGGGGAUAACAGUUAGAAAUGACUGCUAAUACCGCAUAAGCACACAGUACCGCAUGGUACAGUGUGAAAAACUCCGGUGGUAUGAGAUGGACCCGCGUCUGAUUAGCUUGUUGGCGGGGUAACGGCCCACCAAGGCGACGAUCAGUAGCCGACCUGAGAGGGUGACCGGCCACAUUGGGACUGAGACACGGCCCAA
rnacentral:rRNA from 1 species